rnacentral:tRNA from 2 species
CGGGGCGUGGCGCAGCUUGGUAGCGCGCUUGGUUCGGGACCAAGAGGCCGCAGGUUCAAAUCCUGUCGCCCCGACCA